GAUGAACGCUGGCGGCGUGCCUAAUACAUGCAAGUCGAGCGAAUGGAUUAAGAGCUUGCUCUUAUGAAGUUAGCGGCGGACGGGUGAGUAACACGUGGGUAACCUGCCCAUAAGACUGGGAUAACUCCGGGAAACCGGGGCUAAUACCGGAUAAUAUUUUGAACUGCAUGGUUCAAAAUUGAAAGGCGGCUUCGGCUGUCACUUAUGGAUGGACCCGCGUCGCAUUAGCUAGUUGGUGAGGUAACGGCUCCCAAAGGCAACGAGGCUUAGCCGACCUGAGAGGGUGAUCGGCCACACUGGGACUGGAACCCGGCCCAGACUCCUACGGGAGGCAGCAGUAGGGAAUCUUCCGCAAUGGACGAAAGUCUGACGGAGAACCGCCGCGUGGGUGAUGAAGGCUUUCGGGUCGUAAAACUCUUUUGUAGGGAAGAACAAGUGCUAGUUGAAUAAGCUGGCACCUUGACGGUACCUAACCAGAAAGCCACGGCUAACUACGUGCCAGCCGCCGCGGUAA
rnacentral:rRNA from 1 species